GGAGUGUGCGCUGUUUGUUAUAUGCUAGUGUCACUGUUCUCCUUUCUAAGAGAGCAAGUUUUGAGGGUGCUUGUUGCAUGAUUGAGUGAGGCAUGCCAGGGGAGGUAGAUGAGAAUAAAUGCAGCCAUGAGGAUAUCAUAUACCCUUAUCUUAUCCCUUUUUAAAUUGUAAACCACUCUGAAUGUGUCUUCAUUUGCUCUCACACUUGCACAACUCUUAUCAUACAUUGCUCUUACUGUCCCAAGUAAGUGUUCAUUCAUACAUAUUCUCUCAAUGCUUUUCACAGAUUAUUUCUGUUCACUCUGUCAUAUGCUUUGUCAAGAUCUGCAAAAGCACAGAAUACCUUCUUUCUCACACAGAUACUUCUCCACAAUCAUAUACUUUGAGAAAAAUUUGGUCCACACAUACUCUUACACUUCUAAAGUCGUACUGCACAUUCUAUACUGUAAUCAGUCACCCUCUUCAAUUCAGUUGCAAGUU
rnacentral:lncRNA from 1 species